UGUUCGCCAAACAACUACGAGUCCUACUUAAAACUUAAAAGACUUGACGGUACUUCAUCACGGCCUAGAGGAGCCUGUCUAAUAACCGACAAUCCACGAUUAACCCCACCCCUUCUCGCCUUACAGUCUAUAUACCGCCGUCGCCAGCUUACCUUGUAAAAGAAAAAAAGUGAGCUAAACAGUACAACACUAAAACGACAGGUCGAGGUGUAACCUAUGAAAGGGACUAUGAUGGGCUACAUUCUUCAACCAAGAAUACGAAUAACACUAUGAAAUUAAUGCUUGAAGGCGGAUUUAGCAGUAAGAUAAGAAUAAAACACUUAACUGAACAUGACGCAAUGAAGUGCGUACACACCGCCCGUCACCCCUGUCACCAU
rnacentral:rRNA from 1 species